rnacentral:rRNA from 1 species
AUGGUCCAAUCAAAUGAGUUGAUGUUAGCGAAGACUUUGGAGACAAAGGAAGAGUUGGUCGAGAGAAGGGCACGAGAGAAGCAAGAGAAGUGCCAAUUGCUCAAGGAUGAGGGGUUGCCCAAGGCGGCCAUUGAGGUGAGAAGGGCAGGUGCCGCUGAGAACAAAGUCAUGUCCAAGCUUCUUGCCGAAGAGAAUAGGAUCAUGACAAUGAACCGCAAUGACAUGGACGACAUCACCAAAGAGUGGCAUGACAUGGCAAGGAGGGACAUCUUGAAGAGGAGGAUGCUUGCGUCGGUCGGUGCGUGUUACAGUGCAGGCGAUGUUUUCUCAUCGGGAUUUGGAACCAAUAUCGUCAACGCGUUCAGUGCGCCCGCCGGUGAUUUCGACACCGGAGUUGGAACAAGUGCAGGCGAUGGAUUCGAGGGCAGCGAUGACCUCGAUGGAGGUGGUGCGGAGUGA